ACACAUGCAAGUCGAACGGUAGCAGGCCUUCGGGUGCUGACGAGUGGCGGACGGGUGAGUAACGCGUAGGAAUCUGCCCUGUAGUGGGGGACAACGUGGGGAAACUCACGCUAAUACCGCAUACGCCCUGAGGGGGAAAGCGGGGGACCUUCGGGCCUCGCGCUAUGGGAUGAGCCUGCGUGGGAUUAGCUAGUUGGUAGGGUAAAGGCCUACCAAGGCGACGAUCCCUAGCCGGCCUGAGAGGGUGGCCGGCCACACUGGGACUGAGACACGGCCCAGACUCCUACGGGAGGCAGCAGUGGGGAAUAUUGGACAAUGGGCGCAAGCCUGAUCCAGCAAUGCCGCGUGUGUGAAGAAGGCCUGAGGGUUGUAAAGCACUUUCAGUGGGGAGGAAAAAGCGAAGGUUAAUACCCUUGGUCUUGACAUUACCCAGAGAAGAAGCACCGGCUAACUCCGUGCCAGCAGCCGCGGUAAUACGGAGGGUGCGAGCGUUAAUCGGAAUUACUGGGCGUAAAGCGUGCGUAGGCGGCUAUUUAAGUCAGAUGUGAAAGCCCCGGGCUUAACCUGGGAACGGCAUUUGAUACUGGGUAGCUAGAGUUUGGUAGAGGGGAGUGGAAUUUCAGGUGUAGCGGUGAAAUGCGUAGAGAUCUGAAGGAACACCAGUGGCGAAGGCGGCUCCCUGGACCAGAACUGACGCUGAGGCACGAAAGCGUGGGUAGCAAACAGGAUUAGAUACCCUGGUAGUCCACGCCGUAAACGAUGCCGACUAGCCGUUGG
rnacentral:rRNA from 1 species